UACAGAGGGUGCGAGCGUUGUCCGGAAUCACUGGGCGUAAAGGGCGCGUAGGCGGUCGGAUAAGCGUGCGGUGAAAGCCCGGGGCUCAACCCCGGGUCGGCCGUGCGGACUGUUCGACUGGAGCACUGUAGAGGCAGGUGGAAUUCCGGGUGUAGCGGUGGAAUGCGUAGAGAUCCGGAAGAACACCGGUGGCGAAGGCGGCCCGCUGGGCAGAGACUGACGCUGAGGCGCGACAGCGUGGGGGAGCAAACAGG
rnacentral:rRNA from 1 species